rnacentral:rRNA from 1 species
UUAAGUUAGAAAGGGCGCACGGUGGAUGCCUUGACACUAGGAGUCGAUGAAGGACGGGACUAACGCCGAUAUGCUUCGGGGAGCUGUAAGUAAGCUUUGAUCCGAAGAUUUCCGAAUGGGGAAACCCACCAUACGUAAUGGUAUGGUAUCCUUAUCUGAAUACAUAGGGUAAGGAAGACAGACCCAGGGAACUGAAACAUCUAAGUACCUGGAGGAAGAGAAAGCAAAUGCGAUUUCCUGAGUAGCGGCGAGCGAAACGGAACAUAGCCCAAACCAAGAGGCUUGCCUCUUGGGGUUGUAGGACAUUCUAUACGGAGUUACAAAGGAACGAGGUAGACGAAGCGACCUGGAAAGGUCCGUCGUAGAGGGUAACAACCCCGUAGUCGAAACUUCGUUCUCUCUUGAAUGUAUCCUGAGUACGGCGGAACACGUGAAAUUCCGUCGGAAUCUGGGAGGACCAUCUCCCAAGGCUAAAUACUCCCUAGUGAUCGAUAGUGAACCAGUACCGUGAGGGAAAGGUGAAAAGCACCCCGGAAGGGGAGUGAAAGAGAUCCUGAAACCGUGUGCCUACAAAUAGUCAGAGCCCGUUAACGGGUGAUGGCGUGCCUUUUGUAGAAUGAACCGGCGAGUUACGAUCCCGUGCGAGGUUAAGCUGAAGAGGCGGAGCCGCAGCGAAAGCGAGUCUGAAUAGGGCGUUUAGUACGUGGUCGUAGACCCGAAACCAGGUGAUCUACCCAUGUCCAGGGUGAAGUUCAGGUAACACUGAAUGGAGGCCCGAACCCACGCACGUUGAAAAGUGCGGGGAUGAGGUGUGGGUAGCGGAGAAAUUCCAAUCGAACCUGGAGAUAGCUGGUUCUCCCCGAAAUAGCUUUAGGGCUAGCCUUAAGUGUAAGAGUCUUGGAGGUAGAGCACUGAUUGGACUAGGGGUCCUCAUCGGAUUACCGAAUUCAGUCAAACUCCGAAUGCCAAUGACUUAUCCUUAGGAGUCAGACUGCGAGUGAUAAGAUCCGUAGUCAAAAGGGAAACAGCCCAGACCGCCAGCUAAGGUCCCAAAGUGUGUAUUAAGUGGAAAAGGAUGUGGAGUUGCUUAGACAACUAGGAUGUUGGCUUAGAAGCAGCCACCAUUUAAAGAGUGCGUAAUAGCUCACUAGUCGAGUGACUCUGCGCCGAAAAUGUACCGGGGCUAAAUACACCACCGAAGCUGCGGAUUGAUACCAAUGGUAUCAGUGGUAGGGGAGCGUUCUAAGGACAGUGAAGUCAGACCGGAAGGACUGGUGGAGUGCUUAGAAGUGAGAAUGCCGGUAUGAGUAGCGAAAGACGGGUGAGAAUCCCGUCCACCGAAUGCCUAAGGUUUCCUGAGGAAGGCUCGUCCGCUCAGGGUUAGUCAGGACCUAAGCCGAGGCCGACAGGCGUAGGCGAUGGACAACAGGUUGAUAUUCCUGUACCACCUCUUUAUCGUUUGAGCAAUGGAGGGACGCAGAAGGAUAGAAGAAGCGUGCGAUUGGUUGUGCACGUCCAAGCAGUUAGGCUGAUAAGUAGGCAAAUCCGCUUAUCGUGAAGGCUGAGCUGUGAUGGGGAAGCUCCUUAUGGAGCGAAGUCUUUGAUUCCCCGCUGCCAAGAAAAGCUUCUAGCGAGAUAAAAGGUGCCUGUACCGCAAACCGACACAGGUAGGCGAGGAGAGAAUCCUAAGGUGUGCGAGAGAACUCUGGUUAAGGAACUCGGCAAAAUGACCCCGUAACUUCGGGAGAAGGGGUGCUUUCUUAACGGAAAGCCGCAGUGAAUAGGCCCAAGCGACUGUUUAGCAAAAACACAGCUCUCUGCGAAGCCGUAAGGCGAAGUAUAGGGGGUGACACCUGCCCGGUGCUGGAAGGUUAAGGAGAGGGGUUAGCGUAAGCGAAGCUCUGAACUGAAGCCCCAGUAAACGGCGGCCGUAACUAUAACGGUCCUAAGGUAGCGAAAUUCCUUGUCGGGUAAGUUCCGACCCGCACGAAAGGUGUAACGAUUUGGGCACUGUCUCAACCAGAGACUCGGUGAAAUUAUAGUACCUGUGAAGAUGCAGGUUACCCGCGACAGGACGGAAAGACCCCGUGGAGCUUUACUGUAGCCUGAUAUUGAAUUUUGGUACAGUUUGUACAGGAUAGGCGGGAGCCUUUGAAACCGGAGCGCUAGCUUCGGUGGAGGCGCUGGUGGGAUACCGCCCUGACUGUAUUGAAAUUCUAACCUACGGGUCUUAUCGACCCGGGAGACAGUGUCAGGUGGGCAGUUUGACUGGGGCGGUCGCCUCCUAAAGUGUAACGGAGGCGCCCAAAGGUUCCCUCAGAAUGGUUGGAAAUCAUUCGUAGAGUGCAAAGGCAUAAGGGAGCUUGACUGCGAGACCUACAAGUCGAGCAGGGACGAAAGUCGGGCUUAGUGAUCCGGUGGUUCCGCAUGGAAGGGCCAUCGCUCAACGGAUAAAAGCUACCCCGGGGAUAACAGGCUUAUCUCCCCCAAGAGUCCACAUCGACGGGGAGGUUUGGCACCUCGAUGUCGGCUCAUCGCAUACUGGGGCUGUAGUCGGUCCCAAGGGUUGGGCUGUUCGCCCAUUAAAGCGGUACGCGAGCUGGGUUCAGAACGUCGUGAGACAGUUCGGUCCCUAUCCGUCGUGGGCGUAGGAAAUUUGAGAGGAGCUGUCCUUAGUACGAGAGGACCGGGAUGGACGCACCGCUGGUGUACCAGUUGUUCUGCCAAGGGCAUAGCUGGGUAGCUAUGUGCGGAAGGGAUAAGUGCUGAAAGCAUCUAAGCAUGAAGCCCCCCUCAAGAUGAGAUUUCCCAUAGCGUAAGCUAGUAAGAUCCCUGAAAGAUGAUCAGGUUGAUAGGUUCGAGGUGGAAGCAUGGUGACAUGUGGAGCUGACGAAUACUAAUAGAUCGAGGACUUAACCAU